UAUUCCCCACUGCUGCCUCCCGUAGGAGUCUGGGCCGUAUCUCAGUCCCAAUGUGGCCGAUCACCCUCUCAGGCCGGCUACCGAUCGUCGCCUUGGUGGGCCGUUGCCCCGCUAACUAGCUAAUCGGACGCAAGCUCAUCCCAUACCGAUAAAUCUCUUGUCAACCUCCCAUGCGGAAGGCCACGCUCCUGGACAUUAACCGCGCGUUGGCACGGGUAUUUCCUGAUAUGGGGCAGAUUGCUUACGCGUUACUCACCCGUUCGCCGCUGGGCAUUGCUGCCCCGCUCGACUUGCAUGUAUAAGACACGCCGCCAGCGUUCAUCCUGAGCCAA
rnacentral:rRNA from 1 species